rnacentral:rRNA from 1 species
GAUGAACGCUGGCGGCGGGCCUAAUACAUGCAAGUCGAGCGAACACAUGAUAAGCUUGCUCUUCUGACGUUAGCGGCGGACGGGUGAGUAACACUUGGAUAACCUACCUAUUUUACUUGGAGGACUUCGGGAAACCAGAGCUAAUACCGGCUAAUAUGUUGAACCGCAUGGUUCAAUAGUGAUUGACGGUUUUGCUGUCACUUAUAGAUGGUUCCGCGCCGUAUUAGCUAGUUGGUAAGGUAACGGCUUACCAAGGCAACGAUGCGUAGCUGGCCUGAGAGGGUGAUCAGCCACACUGGAACUGAGACACGGUCCAGACUCCUACGGGAGGCAGCAGUAGGGAAUAUUGCGCAAUGGGCGCAAGCCUGACGGAGCAACGCCGCGUGAGUGAAGAAGGUCUUCGGAUUGUAAAACUCUGUUAUUAGGAAAGAAAAAAAGUGGAAGAAACCACCGACGUUUUGACGGUACCUAAAGAGAAAGCAACGGCUAACUUCGUG